AACAUGUAAGUUAUUUUGCAGCUAGUUUCUGCAAUUCAACACCCGUCCAUCUGUUGCACUUAAUGUUAUGGGUGGAUGGGAGAUCAAUUCGGCGUAGAUUUGCGUCAAGAAAUUGUCACGUCGGGAGUGUUUAAAGCGCACUUCACCAUGAUGAUUAUCGUGGAGUGAUGCUGUUUGCUCCAUCAUUAUUUUGGAUGACUCUUGGCAAUGGAUAUCUUGGCUCUUGCAUCGAUGAAGAACAUAGCGAAAUGUGAUACAUGGUGCGAAUUGCAGAAUCCCGUGAACCAUCGAGGUUUUGAAUGCAAGUUGCGCCAAAGGCCAGCAGGUCAAGGGCACGUCUGCUUGGGAGUCAAAAUAACUCAUCGCUCUGUUUAACAUCAAACCAUCACUAUAAUUUGAUGACCUUUUUUUUAAAUGGAAGCGGAGAAUGUCCUGUCGCGUGCAUGGUGCUGCAGGAUUAAGAGUGGGUUGCUUUCUUCUUCGCGAUGAUCGAUAAUUUGGUGGUGGUAGUCCAUGCAUGGCCUUCAAAAUUGUACGAUUAUCGGAGGAAGAUGAUUGUUAAAAAACUCAGUUACGGCGUUGUUUGUGACUCAUCGAUAUGCGACCCCAAGACAGGUGAGGUAACCCGCUGAAUUUAAGCAUAUAAAUAA
rnacentral:rRNA from 1 species